GACGAACGCUGGCGGCGUGCUUAACACAUGCAAGUCGAACGGAAAGGCCUGCUUUCCCUUGUGUGUUGCGGGUGCUCGCGUGGCGAACGGGUGAGUAACACGUGAGUGAUCUGCCCCCAACUUGGGUAUAAGCCUGGGAAACUGGGUCUAAUUCCCGAUAGGACUGCAGGGUGGUGCCUGUGGUGGAAAACGAUUUUCUAGUGGUUGUGGAUGAGCCCGCGGCCUAUCAGCUGGUUGGUGGGGUAAUGGCCUACCAAGGCGGUGACGGGUAGCCGGCCUGAGGGGGGGGACCGGGACAGUGGGACUGAGCGGCCGCCCUGGGUCUGAGGGGCGGCCCAAGCUCCGAAGAGAGGAAGAAGUGGGGAAUAUUGAAGCAGGGGCGCCGCCCUGAUGAAGCCGCGCCGCGUGUAGGAAGCUGGUCUCGAGAGCGUGGAAGCCUCCUGUUGGGGAGGGUGGUGACGGUAGUGGUAGAAGAAGCGACGGCUAACUACGUG
rnacentral:rRNA from 1 species